rnacentral:lncRNA from 1 species
GAGGACCGUAUUCAUGGAAGAGGAUCGAACAGACUACUGAGUUCUUAUGAGAAAAAUGGCUCUUAAGAAAUUGAAGGUGAUACCAAAGGAAAGUUACUUAUUACUUUUGGACUUUGAUGAUGAGGACGAUGAUAUAAAAGUUUCAGAGGAGGCUCUUUCGGAAGUAAAGAGCCCAGCAUUUGAUAAAAAUGAGAAUAUAUCGCCUCAAGCAGAAGCAGAUGAAGAUAUGGGAGAUGAAGUAGACAGUAUGUUGGAUAAAUCUGAAGAUGACAUUUAUAAGACGCUUCACAUAAAGAGAAAAUGGAUGGAAACUUAUGUCAAAGAAUCUUUCAAAGGCAGGAACCAGAAAUUAGAAAGAUUUUGCAAAAUGAACGAACGAGAGAGGAAGAACAUCAACAACAAAUUUUGUGAGCAGUAUAUAACUACAUUUCAGAAGUCUUAUAUGGAUGUACAGAAAUUCAAUGAGGAAAAAGAAAAAUCAGUGAAUAGUUGUCAAAAAGAACAACAAGCAUUGAAACUGUCCAAAUGUAGUCAGAACCAGACCCUGGAAGCAGGUAAAGAAAUGCAUGAGAAGUCCAUGGAGCUGCAUCAUUGGACUCAAACUGAAUGGUCCAUGUGUUGCCACUGAUGUGAGCCAUU